rnacentral:rRNA from 1 species
GGGCAAUGGGCGGUGCAUAGGCAUGCAAGUCGAGCGAGGAAAGUGGUAGCAAUACUAUUUAUUCGAGCGGCGUAAGGGGCAGUAAUACCUGGGAACGUACCCUGAGGUCGGGGAUAGCUGCUGGAAACGGCGAGUAAUACCCGAUGAUCUCGGAAGAGCAAAGGCUUGCCGCCUUGGGAGCGGCCCAGGCGAUAUUAGCUAGUUGGUGAGGUAACGGCUUACCAAGGCUUAGAUGUCUAGCGGGUGUGAGAGCACGACCCGCGCCACUGGCACUGAGACACUGGCCAGACACCUACGGGUGGCUGCAGUCGAGAAUCUUCGGCAAUGAGCGCAAGCUUGACCGAGCGACGCCGCGUGCGGGAUGAAGGCCUUCGGGUUGUAAACCGCUUUGGUCCGAAAGAAAGGGCAACUUGAUCGAUCGGAGAAACAAGGACGGACUAAGUUCGUGCCAGCAGCCGCGGUAAGACGAACCGUCCAAACGUUAUUCGGAAUCACUGGGCUUAAAGGGCGCGUAGGCGGCCGAGCGGGUCGCGGGUGAAAUCCUCCAGCUUAACUGGAGAACUGCCCUCGAUACCACUGCGGCUCGAGGAAGGAAGGGGUCAUGGGAACUGUCGGUGGAGCGGUGAAAUGCGUUGAUAUCGACAGGAACGCCUGUGGCGAAAGCGCAUGACUGGUUCUUUUCUGACGCUGAGGCGCGAAAGCCAGGGGAGCAAACGGGAUUAGAUACCCCGGUAGUCCUGGCCUUAAACGAUGAGAACUAGGUAGUGGGUCCGACCUGGGCACACUGCCGAAGCGAAAGUCUUAAGUUCUCCGCCUGGGGAGUAUGGUCGCAAGGCUGGAACUCAAAGGAAUUGACGGGGGCUCACACAAGCGGUGGAGCAUGUGGCUUAAUUCGAGGCUACGCGAAGAACCUUACCCAGGCUUGACAUGUGCGAAAGCGCCAAGUGUACCCUGUGGAAACACAGGGGAACCUCGCAAGAGGGGACUUGGUACAGGUGCUGCAUGGCUGUCGUCAGCUCGUGUCGUGAGAUGUCGGGUUAAGUCCCAUACGAGCGAAACCCUUGCCCUUAGUGCUACGCAGAGCACUCUAGGGGACUGCGGUGUCAAACCGGAGAAGGCGGGGAUGACGUCAGUCCUCAUGGGCCCUUUACGCCUGGGGGGCUGCACAC